CCUUGAAAACAAAAUAAAAAGUGAAAAUUUAUUUAGCAGUUUCUGUACAAAUCCUGUUUAAGUUACCAGUUCUUGGACCAUUUUAAUGUUUUUGUUUGAACUAAACUGUAGUUUUCUGAAGUGAACUGUCUGUGUAUAAUUCAUAUUUUAUAUUCAUUUCUUAGUAUUUAAUGUACCAUUAUUUCUUUUGAACAAAACAAUUUCAGAAAUGUCAUGUUUUAGAUUGUAGGUCAUCUGGUACCCCGUCAAGGACAAAGUAGUAAACUUGAUAUCAAAAGCAUCCUUAAUGUUACAUGGGUUUGCACCAUAUUGUAAUGAGUAACCUUUCUUGGUAUUGCUGUUUCAAAUACCCCACCAUAAUCUGUAGUCUGAGCCUGUCAAGUGCUAAUGGCAAUGGCAGAUACGUUACUAAUUAGUUUCAAGGAAAUGAGUUUUCUUUUUUUUUGCCAAAUAACCCUGUGCAUGUGUUCGUCCCCACAACCCCCGGAAAAAAAGAUCAGGCUCAGGAUAGAUUUUUUUUUUUUUGCUUUAACCCCUGCGUUCAGUCUAGCAUAUUAUUUCAAAUAAUAAUCUCAACUGUUAUAAUAAAAGUCUCUGCUUUAUGCCUUAGAUUAUUUAAAAAGUUAUUAAAAAAUGCAAGAUGAUGGAGUAAAAUCUUGUCUGCACAAAAUAAUUUCAUCUAGCUGACACAAACAAUCUCCUAUAUUCUGUGUUGGGAGGGGUUAAGAAGACUUGAGAGUGGAAAACCAUGAAGAAAUGAACCCAGUGUGCACCUGCUGAGCAGAUUGUCAGCUGCACUGGUGUCAACUAAAGAUCAUCGCUCACAAGGUGUAUCUGAAGAAAGAGAACAGGGAACGGCAAAAUGGGAUUAUACAGAGAGGUUCUGUUGCUCUCUUUUCUAGUCCACUGGGCUACAGUAUCAUCCCAGGGUAUGAAGGAGAUGCCCAUCAGCCAGUCAACAAUAGGAUUUCCGCGACUACCUGCAGACUUUACGGGAAUGGCCAAGAAACUGAUGAGCACAUGCUUCUCGAAAGGUAAAAUUCCUACAGCCACAUUUGUCAUUAUCUGUUGGCUUGGACACAUUUGGCCUUACAAAAUCAUGGUAUGGAAAUGACUUAUGCGUUGCUCCUGUCCUGUGUAAUACAUUUAGGGAGCUAUAUUGAAUAACCAUAAGCAAAUACAAAUGCCUAAGGAAAAAGUGUAGUGUAUAUUUGCAUAUUGCAUUAGAGAAAAAAAAAAUAUUCCAUUCCAAACAAAAUGUAUUACUAAUCAUAAUCUUCUCUGUCAUAAAUGCGAUAUAUUUUGAAGUCGGAUAACAAUUAUUCUAUAGUUUAUACCAUUAUUCAUAACCAGAAAAUGUUUGUUGUUCAUAAAGAGAGUGUCUGGGUUUUUGUGUCUUUUGUUAAAUUAUGUGGUUGCAUUGUUUCAGGUCACCAGGUGCCCGUAAUGAACAAUUCACC